rnacentral:sRNA from 1 species
CCAUGAUCAGACAGCAUGCUUCGAUGCGACGGAACUUGUUUGAUCUCUAACUCAUCGACGGUUUUCAUUUCCCUUUAUCCGCCGGGGUGAU